GCGUGUUGAGGUGUAAUGCUGGCGCGUUGCUAUUUUAAGACAACUACAAUAGACCAUGCCAUAGAUCGACUGAAAGUUGGUCUAAAGUCCAGCGCACUGAUAGAGCGCAGGUUGCAUCUGAUUAUUUAAAGAGCGCGUUAGUGAGAGGCAGUUCCAAUGCGCAUAGACGUGGCUUAUUUCACACACAUGAUACGCAGCACAAGGUAUGUUUAAAUAUGAAAAAAGGAUGAAUAUAUAAUAAUAAAAGAUUAUUAGCCUAUUGUGUAUAUAAAUAUAAACUGCCUACAUGACAUAAUGAAUAGCGAUUGCAUGCAUCAAAUUAGCUCAACUAUCUGCAGUAAUGAUGCAUGAAAUUGGCUAAUGACUUGACCAAUCAGACCAGUACAUGCAUGUAUUUAAACUGACUUUUUUGUUUGAGUUUGUGUAUCACCAACCAUUCCAAGUUUGGAUCCAACGUGAGCUACAGUACAGCCGACUACUGAACAGCCAAUGGAGUACCUUAUGGGCCAAAGAAAUGGGAGACGGAGGAGGCCGAGGGUCCACCGACCAAGGUCCACAUAUUUGUUGCUGUCCGAGGUGGAGUGCCGCCAGAGGCUACGGUUAUCUCGCCAGGCAGUAACCGAACUUUGUCAUCUUCUGGCAGAUGACUUAGAAACGAAUGCAUCUUGCCCAUAUGCACUCCCCGUUGCCGUAAAGUAACUGCUGCACUACAUUUUUUUACGAGCAGGUCUUUUCAACAUCCCCUCAGUUCAAUUUGCGGCAUAUCCCGACCUGCCGUAAGUUCGGCUUUACAAGCCUGGUCCGACAUGCGCACAAAUUCAUUAAAUUCCCUGUGACACCUGCAAGCCAAAAUACGCUUAAACGGGAGUUCUGGGCUAAAUUCGGGUUUCCUGGUGUUGUGGAUGUAAUAGAUUGUACUCACGUGCAACUACGUGCCCCGUCUUAGAACACUCUGAUUUAUGUUAAUCGCAAAGGAACCCAUUCCAUCAACAUCCAGGUAAUUUGCGAUGCAACGUGUGCGGUCACGCAUGUAUUUGCAAACUAUCCUGGAUCAAGCCAUGACUCCUUUAUUCUAGCCAACUCUGUCAUUCCUGCAGUCUUCCAGGGUGACCCGCCCCUGGACGGGUGGCUGUUAGGGGACAAUGGCUAUCCAUUAAAGACAUGGCUGAUUACCCCGUAUAUCAUGCCUACAACAGUGAGUCAGUUGUUUUUUAAUCGAAAACACACAAAAGCACGAGCUGUCAUUGAACGUACAUUUGGGAUGCUGAAAAUGCGCUUCAGGUGUUUAGACAAGUCAGGGGGAACACUGCAGUACAGUCCUCAAAAGGUCGGAGCAUUCUUUGUGGCAUGUUGUGUUUUGCAUAACAUUGCCAUACACCAUGGAUGUCUCUUGGACAUAAAUGAGGAUAGAUUACAGGAUUUUAGAAGGUGUGAAGCUGAACUGCAUGUGCCGAUGCCAAAUAAUCCGAAUUCUCAAGCAGCAGCACGGGCGAGGAGAGACCAGCUGGCAGAAGAGCUGCUUCACCUGUAGACUUGCAAUCGCGAAGCUCCACGGCGUGACGGGCAACGAGAGGGUCCAGGAACAGCAGAACCCUGUGUGGCCGAUCUGGUGGAGAGAAAAAGUCUAAAUAACUAAUCUGCCAUGCGCACAACUCGCUCUUAAAGGAUGCCUGUCUGACAGGUGGAGAAGAAGUUUCUGCUGAAGUGAUGUUGUACCAUGCAAGUGCAUGUGGAGAAAGAGGUCUGCAUCAUCUUAGAUCCAACCAGUAUCCUGAGCAGAUGGCUGUCAUGGUCAUGGAUGAGUUGAGAACCUGAAACUGAUUCCUGCAAUGAAACCAGUGACAGCCGAGUGUCCACAUUGAUCCUGUGGACUAGUCUGAACCCCUGCCGCUGACCUACUCAGACCUGCAGCUUCACUCCAUGAUAGACCUUCAUCAUUCUCAAGUGUCCGGUGCCCAGACUGCAGCUCUGCACAACAUGUUUGGGAGUACUGGUCAUCCCCGGCUGAGCCUGGUUUCUCUUAAGGUAUUUUUACUUCACUUUGAAGUUUGUUCUUCAUCACUGGCUUGCUUGGUUUGGGACAUUUACAUUAAAC